UACAGAGGGUGCGAGCGUUGUCCGGAAUCACUGGGCGUAAAGGGCGCGUAGGCGGCCUGAUAAGUAGGGGGUGAAAUCCUGUGGCUUAACUGCAGGGCUGCCUCCUAGACUGUUAGGCUCGAGCACGGUAGAGGCAGAUGGAAUUCCCGGUGUAGCGGUGGAAUGCGUAGAGAUCGGGAAGAACAUCGGUGGCGAAGGCGGUCUGCUGGGCCGUUGCUGACGCUGAGGCGCGACAGCGUGGGGAGCAAACCGG
rnacentral:rRNA from 1 species